rnacentral:rRNA from 1 species
UACGAAGGGGGCUAGCGUUGCUCGGAAUCACUGGGCGUAAAGCGCACGUAGGCGGGUCGUUAAGUCGGGGGUGAAAUCCUGGAGCUCAACUCCAGAACUGCCUUCGAUACUGCCGUGCUUGAGGACUGGAGAGGAGACUGGAAUUUACGGUGUAGCGGUGAAAUGCGUAGAUAAUCGUAAGGAAGACCAGUGGCGAAGGCGGGUCUCUGGACAGUUCCUGACGCUGAGGCACGAAGGCCAGGGGAGCAAACGG